rnacentral:rRNA from 1 species
CCUACGGGUGGCAGCAGUCGAGAAUCAUUCACAAUGGGGGAAACCCUGAUGGGGCGACGCCGCGUGGGGGAAUGAAGGUCUGCGGAUUGUAAACCCCUGUCAUGUGGGAGCAAAUUAAAAAGAUAGUACCACAAGAGGAAGAGACGGCGAACGCUGUGCCAGCAGCCGCGGGAAUACAGAGGUCACAAGCGUUGUUCGGAAUCACUGGGCGGAAAGCGUUCGUAGGCUGUUUCGUAAGUCGUGUGUGAAAGGCGCGGGCUCAACCCGCGGACGGCACAUGAUACUGCGAGACUAGAGUAAUGGCGGGGGAACCGGACUUCUCGGUGUAGCCG